CUACGGGUGGCAGCAGUGGGGAAUAUUGGACAAUGGGCGAAAGCCUGAUCCAGCCAUGCCGCGUGUGUGAAGAAGGCCUUCGGGUUGUAAAGCACUUUCAGUGGGGAAGAAAGCCUUGGGGCUAAUACCCUCGAGGAAGGACAUCACCCACAGAAGAAGCACCGGCUAACUCCGUGCCAGCAGCCGCGGUAAUACGGAGGGUGCGAGCGUUAAUCGGAAUUACUGGGCGUAAAGCGCGCGUAGGCGGUCUGAUAAGCCGGUUGUGAAAGCCCCGGGCUCAACCUGGGAACGGCAUCCGGAACUGUCAGGCUAGAGUGCAGGAGAGGAAGGUAGAAUUCCCGGUGUAGCGGUGAAAUGCGUAGAGAUCGGGAGGAAUACCAGUGGCGAAGGCGGCCUUCUGGACUGACACUGACGCUGAGGUGCGAAAGCGUGGGUAGCAAACAGGAUUAGAUACCCCUGUGUC
rnacentral:rRNA from 1 species